rnacentral:rRNA from 1 species
AUUGAACGCUGGCGGCAUGCCUUACACAUGCAAGUCGAACGGUAACAGGUUAAGCUGACGAGUGGCGAACGGGUGAGUAAUAUAUCGGAACGUGCCCAGUAGUGGGGGAUAGCCCGGCGAAAGCCGGAUUAAUACCGCAUACGACCUACGGGUGAAAGGGGGGGAUCGCAAGACCUCUCGCUAUUGGAGCGGCCGAUAUCAGAUUAGGUAGUUGGCGGGGUAAAGGCCUACCAAGCCUGCGAUCUGUAGUUGGUCUGAGAGGACGACCAGCCACACUGGGACUGAGACACGGCCCAGACUCCUACGGGAGGCAGCAGUGGGGAAUUUUGGACAAUGGGCGAAAGCCUGAUCCAGCAAUGCCGCGUGUGUGAAGAAGGCCUUCGGGUUGUAAAGCUCUUUUGUCCGGAAAGAAAUGGCUCUGGUUAAUACCUGGGGUCGAUGACGGUACCGGAAGAAUAAGGACCGGCUAACUACGUGCCAGCCGCCGCUGUAAUAC